AUGAUGAAUGAUAUUUUUACGCUCAUCAAACCUGAGUUUAAACCGAGAUAUUUCAUAAAAACCAAGAUAUUCGUUCUGAUAUUGUUACUAAUGACUAAUGAAGGUAAAUAUCCUAUCUUUAUUUUGUUUCCAUAUGAAAUGGGAUUUUUAUGGACGAAAGCAAGUCAAUAUAUGAAAAGGAAUAAAGAGGAGAUCAAGUGGGAGCCACACCAGAGAAGACAGAGCAAAAGACGGUGUUUCAUACGACCGCACGCGCUCGUGCGGUCAUACAGAGUUCCAGUGGCGUCUCCUGAUCUAGUUGAACUAACUUGA
rnacentral:rRNA from 1 species